rnacentral:lncRNA from 1 species
UUCACUCGCCUAACAUCGACCAUGGACUCUCUUAGAUCCCUAUCUACCAAGAUGCCCACUCCACUCUUACCUCUCACGAUCCCAGAAUACCACAGCUUAAACCUGCCUGCAUUCCUCGCCUUCGACCCUUUCCACCUAGUCUCUUGGACACAGGCUAUGUUAACCCUCCUCUUCUGAAGAACCUUCGCCAACUCAAUGGACUUACCUGUCAGAGUGCCUAUAUUCUUCGUGUUAUUAAGACUAACUUGUCUGAUCUAGUCUAUAAGUAAUCUAUGUCAUAAUUUCAGAAGUUGGAAAUAACCUCAUAGUGCAGGCAAACAGAAGACACAAAAGUUCUCUAAUGGAUGCGGCAAAGGGUGACCGAAGAUCUGAAGUGAAAGACUCUGGGAGAUCAGUCAAAGCAGAUAGAUCAAUGGGUUGCAAGCUCAAUGAGAUUUAUGCAGCUUUAUGUUGUAUUCACCAACUCAAUGAACCUACCCGUCAGAGUGCCUAUGUUCCACGACCCAAUCCUUAAUCUAUGAGCGUCGGCUACCCUCCUUCCACCCUUACCUCC